rnacentral:misc_RNA from 1 species
AACACUGUUAACCUGCGGUACCUGCGGAAGGAUCAUUAUCGUAUCUCCGAGGAGGGGUCCGGUUGGGCCCUGCUCCGGCCCACUAGGCCGUGCAGCGGGUCUCCCGUUCCCUGACUCAACCUAAAAAAAACCCCUGUGAACCUUCACGGCCAGAGGGUGCCGCCGGCGAAAGCUCGCGCGUGCCCGAAGCCGCAUCAUAUAAACCCCAGUUCAAAAGAAUGUCUAGCGGACUCUGUUCCG